rnacentral:sRNA from 1 species
UGACUUUGUCCUUCUAGACCACGCGUCCACCAUCGCUGGUCCUUUCGGUUCGACGAUUUCUCGAUUUCGCUUCUCUCUCGCCAUUCUCACCUUUUGGGUAUUUUGUAACCUAGGUUUUUUUUCUCUACCGCAUCGCCAUUUUACUCACCGUUCAGCGUCGCUAUCUUUCUCCAGAUCUUCAGGCCGAUAGAACCCGGCAAGAUUAGCAUGUACGUUUGUGGAAUUGCCGCAUGUGAUCUCAGCCAUCUUGACCAUGCUCGUGCCGCCAUCAAUUCCGAUGUCGUCUUCAGGCAUAUUUGCGUCUUUAGCGGCGUUGAUGUUGAAUUGUGUAAAAAAGGACAUUGAUUACUCUCCGUGCGAAGAAGGUGAGUGGAGGUGAACAAUUGAAUGCACAACUCAGAUUUUGGAUUUAUUAUAAUUGAGUUUUAGUUAAGCUUCAUAGAUUUUUUCCUUUAAAUUUCUGGGUUGUGCUCAAUUUUUCGUUAAAUUUGUGGGUUUUUUUGGUGUCCUUUUAUCUGAAAGUUCUGGUUGCCUUGAAGGAUGGUAAGCCUCUUCACUCUCCUCUUUUUCUCUCUUUAAACUCUCUCCACAGAUUAUAUUUUGUUUGAUUGCAGAGUUUUUGGUUCUUAAAAAUCUCCAAUUUUUUUAUUUGGUUUCCUCUUGAUUAUUUUUGCCUAAAACUCUAUGAAGGGUUUGCUCCUUUGAUUGUGGACUAAAACAGUCGAAGAAGGUUUAUUUUAAUGGCUGAAGAAAUUGACGAUUAUUCAGGUGCACUAUGGUUGCGCCUCAAAUGGAUAUCUACCACAGCAUGGGAGAUGCUCUUGCGCAGCAGUAUGGUGGCUAUGCAGCUCACAACACUGGUAUAGCCGAAAUGGAAAAGCUUAUGUACACGACCUUCUUGAUGUUAACGGCAGACUAGUUCUCAUAGUGGAUGCUUCUAUGCAUCUUUCUGCUGUAAGUUUUAGAUCAAGUUUUGUAUGGUACUAUGGUCACUGAACAAAAAGUGCCACAGGUGCAUGAUCCCGCUGAUAAAGAGAAGCUGUGGAUGUUUUUGAUUGAGAAGGCCAGAAGGGAGCAAAGAAAUACUAGGAAUCUUCAAUCUACGUUGGGUCCAGCGAAAGUAAUAAUAGGCAUACAACAUAUUUUUUUGGACCAGGAUCCUCUCCUGAGCUAAGGAUGAGGAUCCUACUGAUCAAUGAGUGUGGGCCGUUGGAUGAAAAUCCAACGGCUACAAACAAGGGGUCCCUUUAAAGUUAUAAUAAUUAUAGUCGUUGAAUUUUCAUCAAACGGUCCACAAUCCUUGGUAAGGAGGAUCCUUAUCCUUAGCUCAGGAAAGGAUCCUGGUCCAUUUUGUUUUACUUUCUUUCAAAUUUAUUAUUUUUAAUUAUAUAGCCGAAUGAGCACGGGAUUCCUUUCGAGUCUCUGCGAGAUUAGAGUAAGGUCUAGGUUGUUGUUUUGAUUGUAGUGACAUAUACUAUUGGGGAAAGUGGUGAAGUUUGAUACUUUCCAGCUUUAAUCUACUUAUUCACAACUUUAGAUGAACAGUUUGAAGGAUUAAAAUGUUCUAAUUUGGUGUUGGUAAUCUUGGUUUAGCAAAUUGGCAGCGAGAUUGCACACUCCUCAUUAUGUUUGAAUUACAAAUCAUAUGAGCAGACGUUUCCUAAUGUGGUAAAAUGGUUUUACCAAGUCUUCUUCCUUAUAGACAACGAUGCUAAGCAAAAUGAAAACAAGCCCAUUAGAUUAAGGAAGUUCAAUGCUACUCUUUGUUCCUUAUUGUACAUAGUGUUGUAAGUACAUUAAGUACAUUUUCCAUAUGUAUAUAAGUAGUAUGGCUUAUCAUAUAUACAUUUAAAACUUUCUUCGUAUUUUGUACAAUUUGAAAACCCG